UGUAUAAAUUCCCUAGCCUACCAAGUUAGAAUUUCAUUUCUAGUGGGGAUAAACGAAGAGAGUGAGAAUAUGGGGGCUCAGAACUUCGGAUUAUACGUACAAUCGCCGAAUCUCCCCACGUAACCAUGCAUGGAGUUUUCACGUGUGACGCUGAUUUUGUUUGAAUUAUCCAGCCUGUAAUUAGCCGGCGGUUGAUGACGUAACUACCCCUCUCCCAAACCACACGGGGAGGCCACCCGCCCGUCCGAAAACAGCGUGACAUUACACACCACGCCACGUGCCUAUUGUCUAGAAGUACGCGCCAUUGAUGUCGAUUGUCACUUUGGGCGAUAUAUACACACUUGCUUGGAUGUUUAUUUCGCGUGUAAUAUAUCAUUAUCAAAUAUUGCCCUUCGUAUAACCUUACGUAAGAGAAUUGUACUGUUAUUUUGGUCUUCAUGAUGUAAUUUGUUAUUGCUAGUGUCUUUGUUAGUUUCUUUGUAUAUUACAUACAUAUCCACCUUAGUAAUUGAACUUAGUGAAUUUCUUAAAUGAUGUAAAAACACAUUAGUCAAAAUUUUAAAAGCACAUAACCUGGAAAUUUAGUAUCGUUUUACUAAUGUAUGUUGCUAAAUGCAUGCUGCUUUGUAGUGUGAGACAAUAGGCUUCUAUAUAACACAUACAUAUUGUUUACAAAUAAUCCACUGGCUCUUUGUUUACUUUGAUUACAUGAAGAUUAUGAUACGAUCAUGAGUUUAUCGUUUGAACAUUGUUUCAAUAUCGAUAAACUUGUAAUUCAUAAUGCUGAAGAGAAGUAAAAGAACGCCUAAUUUUUUUCGUAUUAGUAUUCUGUCAAUGUUAACUAAUUAUUGUCAUAUGAAAAGGGUCGGGUGCCUUUUCCUUCUUUGAAAAACACUAUUAACAUAAGAGAUAUAUUUAGGAAUAUGCUCCUUGUGGGAAAAAAACACCAUUAUCAAGUAUCUAUGGUACCCAGUAUAUAAAAAAUCAGAAACCAUAUCUGGGUUGAAAUAAUAUUUAUCUUCACUAGCAGGGAAUAACUUACGUGGAAUAUUCGAUAUUAGUGAAAUUUUGAUUGAAUGUAUCACAUACAUGGUGUGCAUGUUAUCAUGAGUGUGGUUCGAUGAUAACGAAGUGUGCCUGUAGUUAUACUUGAUUGUAGGCUAAUUGAAGAAACUCUCUAUAACCGAUACAAAAGCUUAGUACAAGUAGAACAUAUUGCCUAAAGGGAUGGGGAAAAAUCUAAAUAAAAUAAACGGAUUCUUCACGCAGUAGAAAAAAGAGAUUUUGAGAAAUCACAGAAUCCUAUCCAGAACAAUCACAGAAAAUGGGAGUUUUCAGCGACAUGUGUGCCCUAAUUGCACUCUGAUUUUAUACAUUGUGCUAUUAAGUGUACAUUUCAUUUAAUUUCUGUCACAAUUAAAUUGUUAUCACACACACAACCUGUUGUUCUAAAAACGUAUGUAAAUGCUAAUAACUUUGACUACAUGUCGCUUAUUUGGCAUUGAUUGCUUUACUUCCAUAUUUCAUAAGACUCAGUUCAGAUUUAUGCAUGGAAAUGUAUAACUUAUAAUGGUUAUAUUAUUAUCCGAUACGGGAUUUUCACUUAAACCAAAAUUACUUCAGUAACACAUAGUAAUAAAACUGCUCAUAUUAGCAUGUCAUCUUCAUGUAUAUAUUAUUAAUUCGAUAUCCAGCAACCUAAAAGAAUAACCCAUAUUUGUCUUACGGUUUAUCAUAUACCAAUAGGGUGAGAGAAUAGGGUGGAAUAUAUGGAUUCCAAACGCUUCGUAUGAUGCUUGGUGUACCCAGUACAACCACAAUCCACUCAACGGAUUUCUAUGAUUUUUAUUUAAAAAAUAUAAACGGAAGUGUACAUUUCAAGGACCUGUUCAAAUUUAAACAACCGUUAGACAGUUCCAGAUUUUGUUUCACAAAGCUCUAUGAGACUAGAUACGAUAUUUCGAUUUAAUGAAAAAAUGCAUAUUUAUGUAGCUGGCGGAGACUCUCCUAUUUCGCUGCGAUGACACAGGUAACAAUGUUAAUGACGUAAGUGAAGAUGCUCGGAUGGUGCUUAUGAGAUGAAGACAAUAAAUAUAAAUGACCAAACGUUAUAUCUGUACGUAUCUGUACCGUUACAAUUUGAACUAUAUUUAUUGCCGUAAGUUGAGAGUGAUGUAUAUUGCAGUGUGGAGUGAAAUUAACAGCAGUGAACUAGAUAGACAUGACCGUAUGUGACGCGAUGUUUGACAAGUAUAGGCGGAGUGUGAGUCCGGACAGUGUGUUACAAUCAUCCAAUGUACAUUGUAUUGUAUAAAAGUCAUAUCUGGGGGUUUUGACUGGCAGCCUGUCGUGUAUACUGAUAAUAAAUUAAACAGACAAACGUUGAUGGCGGACAGUCUGGGAUUAUUUCAAACUUUAUGUGUUAGUAGUUGGGGUAACGGUGGGCUAAGAAAGACAUCUAUUGUGCCAUUUAGCGCCCAUUUUACGCUUUAUUUCCGUGUGCGGGUGGUAUUUUUGGAAGACUUAUGUCAAGCUAAAUACAUCCUAUAUUCACUUUUUGCAAAUGGUCAUUUCCACUUAAUGACCUGUUUAGAUAAGAGAGAAUAUAUUGUUCCG
rnacentral:lncRNA from 1 species